rnacentral:rRNA from 1 species
AGAGUUUGAUCCUGGCUCAGGAUGAACGCUAGCGAUAGGCCUAACACAUGCAAGUCGAGGGGCAGCACAUGAAGUAGCAAUACGGAUGGUGGCGACCGGCGCACGGGUGAGUAACGCGUAUGCAACCUGCCUACAACAGGGGAAUAACCCGUUGAAAGACGGACUAAUACCCCAUAACACAGGGAUCCCGCAUGGGAAUAUUUGUUAAAGAUUAAUCGGUUGUAGAUGGGCAUGCGUUCCAUUAGCUUGUUGGUGAGGUAACGGCUCACCAAGGCAACGAUGGAUAGGGGAACUGAGAGGUUUAUCCCCCACACUGGUACUGAGACACGGACCAGACUCCUACGGGAGGCAGCAGUGAGGAAUAUUGGUCAAUGGACGCAAGUCUGAACCAGCCACGUCGCGUGAAGGAAGACGGCCCUACGGGUUGUAAACUUCUUUUGUAAGGGAAUAAAGUGUAGUACGUGUACUAUUUUGCAUGUACCUUACGAAUAAGGAUCGGCUAACUCCGUGCCAGCAGCCGCGGUAAUACGGAGGAUCCGAGCGUUAUCCGGAUUUAUUGGGUUUAAAGGGUGCGCAGGCGGGAGAUUAAGUCGGCGGUGAAAUUUUGCAGCUCAACUGUAAAAGUGCCUUCGAAACUGGUUUCCUUGAGUGUGGAUGAAGUAGGCGGAAUUUGUGGUGUAGCGGUGAAAUGCAUAGAUAUCACGAGGAACUCCGAUUGCGCAGGCAGCUUACUAAACCAUAACUGACGCUCANGCACGAANGCGUGGGGAUCAAACAGGAUUAGAUACCCUGNNAGUCCACGCAGUAAACGAUGAUUACUAGCUGUUUGCGAUACAAUGUAAGCGGCUGAGCGAAAGCGUUAAGUAAUCCACCUGGGGANUACGCUCGCANAAUGA